UGAACGCUAGCGGUAGGCUUAACACAUGCAAGUCGAGGGGUAACGAUACUUUCGGGUAGGCGACGACCGGCGCACGGGUGAGUAACGCGUAUGCAACCUACCCAUUGCUGGAGAAUAGGCCGAAGAAAUUCGGAUUAAUACUCCAUAAUAUCAUUUUAACACAUGUUUUUAUGAUUAAAGUUCCGACGGCAAUGGAUGGGCAUGCGUGACAUUAGUUUGUUGGUGAGGUAACGGCUCACCAAGACUGCGAUGUCUAGGGGGUCUUAAAGGAUGAUCCCCCACACUGGUACUGAGACACGGACCAGACUCCUACGGGAGGCAGCAGUGAGGAAUAUUGGUCAAUGGGCGAAAGCCUGAACCAGCCAAUCCGCGUGCAGGAUGACGGCCCUAUGGGUUGUAAACUGCUUUUGUAUGGGAAGAACUACCUGACGUGUCAGGGGCUGACUGUACCAUACGAAUAAGCAUCGGCUAACUCC
rnacentral:rRNA from 1 species